CCGGCGCGCUGGGCAGUCGCGGGAGGCCUUGCGCCUCUCGAGGAAAGUCCGGACAUCACAGGGCAGGGUGGUCGCGUAGGUGACCCGGGGAAACCCGCGGGAAAGUGCCACAGAAAUACACCGCCGAUGGCUGCGCGAGCAGCACAGGCAAGGGUGAAAAGGUGCGGUAAGAGCGCACCGGCGCCGCGGUGACGCGGCGGCCAGGUAAACCCCACCCGAUGCAAGACCGAGCCGAACCGCUUGUAGGCGGCCCGUCGAGGUUCAGGUAGGUCGCAGAGAUGGAUGACUGUUCUCGACAGAAUCCGGCUUAUAGGCGCGCUACCGCC
rnacentral:RNase_P_RNA from 1 species